GACCCAGAAAAAAAGAGAGCUCCUCUUGACACUGAGAUUCAGUGUCUUUUGAUUCUCUCUGCUCAAAAAAGAUUUUCUCUGAUAAAAGCAGAGGAGAGAGAAACAGAGGAUUUAUGUCGUCNNNNNNNUUUGAUCUGUUGACUGGAGCUCCAAAGAAGCUCUGGGUGUCUCUCUGCAUCACUCUCUGCCUCUUCUUCACUUUUUGCAGCCAAUCUUGGUCCCUUCAGAAGUGCCG
rnacentral:misc_RNA from 1 species